rnacentral:lncRNA from 1 species
AGACUGAUGCUUUGACUGUCUCCCAUAUCAUUCGAUAAUAAAGAUCCACUACUUGCCUUGUCGACGCUAAACUCAGUACCUCGCUUCCUUACUAGUACACCUACUAGACCCAUACUCAUUACGAAUGUGUUCACCAGACAUCUGACUUAGCAACCUUCUGCUUUCUUAAUGAAGAUCGAUCUGGUAGAGGAGAAGUAGAUCCAUUCAAGUCCAAAGCAAGGUGGAAAGUCUCAAUUCAAUGCUGCGGUUGAUGACCGUAGCAAUAGUCAAAGGCACUGGAGGGAAGCCGCUUGGGAGGUGGCUUAUGCUGUUGAAAGCCUAGCUCAUCCUAGCAUGGCAUAUCUGUAUCCCCUGAUAAUGAUCAUUCCUAUUCGAUAUCAUGAAUAGGUAUGCCUGUCAACCAUUUCUAUAUGCGAGAUGGAGGGCUGCUUU